AAACGCCUGAAAGAGAAAAACGCCAGAGAGUCCGAUGAUCAUCUGUUCACAGGCAGAACCAAGAUGUGGUUCUACUCUAUAACCUACAACGCUUAACCUCCUAACAUGAAGGAACCUCUCCGACACGACAGCUCUACAAGUCACCCAUUAAAAAGAGGCUCUAACUCCAGAACCUUAGCUGAUGAGAUGAUGAAUCAAGAUGUACAAGGACAGUUUCUGCCGCUCCAUCAGUUAUUCUGCGGAGUUACCCAGUCGGUUUUGGUCUGAAACAUGCAGUUCUGCUGAGCACCAGGUCUAACAGAACUAGAACCUGGUCCUAAACUGGAUCAGAAGCCAGAUCUGUCUGAAAGAGACCCGUCAGGCCCAAUAAGAACUCUGAUCCUGGUCAGCACCAGGAUUCCUGUGUUGUGCUGGCAGCUGAGUGAGAACAUUUUCUGCUCAUUUUACCAGUGAGGAGCUUCUUUGGUCCUCACCUUUUCUGCACUAGGGGUCAUUUUAGGACUAAGGUGUCGAUUAGGUUUAGGUUCUGGUUAUCUACUGGUAAAAGGUUAUGGUUAUCUACUGGUGAAGAUAAUGGUUAUCUACUGGUAAAGGUUCUGGUUAUCUACUGGUAAAGGUUAUGGUUAUCUACCGGUAAAGAUAAUGGUUAUCUACUGGUGAAGAUAAUGGUUAUCUACUGGUAAAGGUUCUGGUUAUCUACUGGUGAAGGUUAUGGUCAUCUACCGGUAAAGGUUCUGGUUAUCUACUGGUGAAGGUUAUGGUUAUCUACUGGUGAAGAUAAUGGUUAUCUACUGGUAAAGGUUCUGGUUAUCUACUGGUGAAGGUUAUGGUUAUCUACCGGUAAAGAUAAUGGUUAUCUACUGGUAAAGGUUAUGGUUAUCUACUGGUGAAGAUAAUGGUUAUCUACUGGUAAAGGUUCUGGUUAUCUACUGGUGAAGGUUAUGGUUAUCUACCGGUAAAGAUAAUGGUUAUCUACUGGUAAAGAUAAUGGUUAUAUACUGGUAAAAGUUAUGGUUAUCUACCGGUAAAGAUAAUGGUUAUCUACUGGUAAAGGUUAUGGUUAUCUACCGGUAAAGAUAAUGGUUAUAUACUGGUAAAAGUUAUGGUUAUCUACUGGUGAAGGGUUAGAGUCAGGUUAGGCCAUAAAAAGGGUUGAAAAUGAAUGGGAGUCAAUGGGAGUUAAGGCACGGUCCUCAGUUAGUAUUUAAAUAAAGGAUGUGUGUGUUUGUACCAUGCAGGCAGUGCUCCAGAUGUCUGCUGGCGGACCGUACUCGGCUCCAAUCAGAACCUCCAGAGCUCGGUACUGCCUCGUCUGGAUGUCCUCUGUGAAGUGUUUGUGCUGUUCAGCAGACACACACCAACAAGCAGAGAGGAAACCAUCUGAUUGGUCAAAUCUGAAGACGAGCAGCAGAGGAAGAGGAGGAGGAGGAGGCGAAGGUGUCUCACCACCCAGCAGGCGUUUCCCAGAUCAGCGAUCUUCACCCGGAGCCGGUCGGCAUUGUGAGGAUCCAGAGGGUUGAGCACGAAGUCCGUAGAGCUGAACCCUGCAGAAACCAGAAGAUUGGUCACAAACUCAGCCAAUCAGUCCAUAUGCAGAUGUGUGUCAGCAUCUAGUCUGAAAGAGCAGAGUCCAGACUGGGCCUGAUGCCACACAGGUUUUGGGUUGGGCUUUAAAGUUGCAACAAACUUUAUUUCAAUGAUUAUUAAACAUCCGAUAAGGCGA